rnacentral:rRNA from 1 species
UACGUAGGGUGCUAGCGUUGUCCGGAAUUACUGGGCGUAAAGCGUGCGCAGGCGGCGCGUUAAGACAGGUGUGAAAGCCCCGAGCUUAACUUGGGAAUUGCGCUUGUGACUGGCGUGCUGGAGUGUGGCAGAGGGAGGUGGAAUUCCACGUGUAGCAGUGAAAUGCGUAGAGAUGUGGAGGAACACCGAUGGCGAAGGCAGCCUCCUGGGCCAGCACUGACGCUCAUGCACGAAAGCGUGGGGAGCAAACAGG